GCGUCCGUAGCUCAGUUGGUAGAGCACCGGCCUGAAGAGCCGGGUGUCACUGGUUCGAUUCCAGUCGGACGCACCA
rnacentral:tRNA from 1 species